GGGAUUUUCGCCGCUUCUCUCUCCAAAACUGUUUCCAGGAGCAAAUAACUGAUCGCUUGAGGCAGCUCUAAUGAGCCCUGUGAUUCGGUUAGGAGGCUGCGCGCUGAGAGCUUCACCCCGAGGACAACGUGAGGCCCCGCUUUCCCGCCGCGCUUGGGAGGUGCGCGCGCACCGGGAAACCGCGCCCACGGGUGGGACCGCGGAUGUGCCCGGAGACAGCAUGGCGGCUCCGGCAUAAGGAACCCGGAGCGCAAGCCGGCGGCCCGCUACGGUGGCCCGCGGGGGCCCAUAUAGUAUUAGAAUGCUGACUCCCCUUCGGCUCCUGGUGGAGCAAAGGGAAUUUCCACCCAGGGAUCAGAAGAACCCUGAGCGGUCGCGGGGACAGAACAGCCAGGACCACCAGAAGAGGGCACCCCCAGCUGGCCAGAGUCGGAGGAAGAGAGAAGAGCAAGGCCAUUCAUUGAAUUCCUUCAUUCCCUCGUGAGCACCGACAAACUUCGAAAAUCCAUGGACGGCGGUCACAAAGAGUCGGACACGACUGAGCGACUUCACUCACCCCGGGGGUUAAAUGCAAUUCACCAGCCACCAGUGGGACACAGGGUCGCCUCAAAGAUUAGUGUCCCAUCAAGUCCUCAAAUGAUGCUUUUGAACUGUGGUGUUGGAGAAGACUCUUGAGAGUCCCUUGGACUGCAAGAUCAAACCAGUCAAUCCCA